rnacentral:rRNA from 1 species
UACGUAGGGUGCGAGCGUUAAUCGGAAUUACUGGGCGUAAAGGGUGCGUAGGCGGUCGGGUAAGUCGGAUGUGAAAUCCUGGGGCUCAACCUCAGAACUGCAUUCGAUACUGCCCGGCUAGAGGAUUGGAGAGGAGAGUGGAAUUCACGGUGUAGCAGUGAAAUGCGUAGAGAUCGUGAGGAAGACCAACGGCGAAGGCAGCUCUCUGGACAAUUCCUGACGCUGAGGCACGAAGGCCAGGGGAGCAAACGGG